rnacentral:lncRNA from 1 species
CCGCCACUUCAAGGAGGCAGGCAGAGGACGCCCUGGCGAGGGCUGAAGCGCUGUAGGGAUGCUGCUGCUUUUCGAGAACGGUCGUUGGAGGGGCGCAUUGCCAUCUGCGAUCGGGAUGCUCGUGAUGCGGCGGACCGGAUUACUGCCUUGGAGGCCGAGAACCGGCACCUGAGGGAUUAGGCCGCUUCCUUUGGUCCUGCUCGUGAGCUUUGGACGUACGUCGAGGCUCAGCUCGAUGUGUACAUGAGGAUGUGGGAGGCUGGCGUCGUGUCUGAAGCCACUUAUGAGGAGGCACGCCAAAAGGCCCGUGAAG